CGGGAAGUAGCUCAGCUUGGUAGAGCACAUGGUUUGGGAUAUGGGGUCGCAGGUUCGAAUCCUGUCUUCCCGACCA
rnacentral:tRNA from 1 species